rnacentral:lncRNA from 1 species
AAUUUAGUUAAAUAUGAAGAAACUGAAUGACAAAACAUAUUCUACGUUAUACAACUUUAAUAAUUGUAUUAAAAUGAAUAUUUUUUACUGCAACAACAUCUCACCUGUUAGUUAUAAAGCACCUGCACGAUCUGUUCGUGAAAUGUCCUAAAUAUUCACCUAUUUUGGUAUAUAUUUCACAGCUGGAUGGCUUUAGGCGCGAUAAAACCCCGC